GACGAACGCUGGCGGCGUGCUUAACACAUGCAAGUCGAACGAAGAGCGAUGGAAGCUUGCUUCUAUCAAUCUUAGUGGCGAACGGGCGAGUAACGCGUAAUCAACCUGCCCUUCAGAGGGGGACAACAGUUGGAAACGACUGCUAAUACCGCAUACGAUCUAACCUCGGCAUCGAGGAUGGAUGAAAGGUGGCCUCUAUGUAUAAGCUAUCACUGAAGGAGGGGAUUGCGUCUGAUUAGCUAGUUGGAGGGGUAACGGCCCACCAAGGCGAUGAUUAGUAGCCGGUCUGAGAGGAUGAACGGCCACAUUGGGACUGAGACACGGCCCAGACUCCUACGGGAGGCAGCAGUGGGGAAUCUUCCGCAAUGGACGAAAGUCUGACGGAGCAACGCCGCGUGAGUGAUGACGGCCUUCGGGUUGUAAAGCUCUGUUAAUCGGGACGAAAGGCCUUCUUGCGAAUAGUAGAAGGAUGACGGUA
rnacentral:rRNA from 1 species